UUUCAGGUCUUGGAUGUUAAAAAAUUUAAAAAUUCAUAAAAAAUCGAUCAAGUUUGGAUCUUAUUCACUAAAUUUUUGUUUCAAGACUAAAUUUAGUUUACAAAUAUUCAAAAAAAUUACUUUCUUUUGUUAACAGCAACAAAAAAAGUUAAAAUUUUGUCAAAAAAUUCCCAAAAAUUUAGCAACCAAAACUUGUUUUGUUAAAUUGUUAUCAAAUUCCAUCAAAAUAAGACUGAAUAUCGACAAAAAGUUUUCAUUUAAACAUGGCAGACGAGAAAAAACCCACAACAAACGACGAGCUCGCAAACGCUAAACAAGGAAUCGUCCGCCAAAAGUUCCAUCUUUACGUAGAAUUGUGUGAAAACAGCAUGAGGAUCGAAAUGCACAUGAAACGCCUCUCGAAUCUGCGGAAGGAAUUGAAUUACAUCAAAAAUACCGACUGGAAAUACGAUCCAAUUGAGAAGCCAGCGUGAAAUUAAAGUUAAUUUACUGAAAUUUAUCCGUUCCAAGUGAUUUUUCGUAGUUGAUAAGUUGUAAAAAUAAACAUUUUUUAUUUCGUAUGAACAGGUU